ACUUAAAUAGCUUAUAUUUAGAGCAUAAUAUUGAAGAUAUUAGGGAAAUUAAUUGUAAUUUUUAAGUA
rnacentral:tRNA from 1 species